rnacentral:rRNA from 1 species
AGCGGGAACAGCUCAAAUUUUGAAAUCUGGCCCUCGGGUCCGAAUUGUAAUUUGCAGAGGAUGCUUUUGGUUAGGUACUUUCCGAGUUCCCUGGAACGGGACGCCUUAGAGGGUGAGAGCCCCGUACGGUUGGAUACCGAGCCUUUGUAAAGCUCCUUCGACGAGUCGAGUAGUUUGGGAAUGCUGCUCUAAAUGGGAGGUAAAUUUCUUCUAAAGCUAAAUACCGGCCAGAGACCGAUAGCGCACAAGUAGAGUGAUCGAAAGAUGAAAAGCACUUUGAAAAGAGGGUUAAAUAGCACGUGAAAUUGUUGAAAGGGAAGCGUUUAUGACCAGACUUUUUCCAGGCGGAUCAUCCGGUGUUCUCACCGGUGCACUUCGUCUGGUUGAGGCCAGCAUCGGUUUUCGUAGAGGGAUAAAAGCUUUAGGAAUGUGGUUCCUCCGGGAAUGUUAUAGCCUAUUGUAUAAUACCUUUAUGGGGACCGAGGUUCGCGCUCUGCAAGGAUGCUGGCGUAAUGGUCAUCAACGACCCGUCUUGAAACACGGACCAAGGAGUCGAACAUUUGUGCGAGUGUUUUGGGUGUUAAACCCUCACGCGUAAUGAAAGUGAACGGAGGUGAGAGCCCUUACGGGUGCAUCAUCGACCGAUCCUGAUGUUUUCGGAUGGAUUUGAGUAAGAGCAUAACUGUUCGGACCCGAAAGAUGGUGAACUAUGCGUGGAUAGGGUGAAGCCAGAGGAAACUCUGGUGGAGGCUCGCAGCGGUUCUGACGUGCAAAUCGAUCGUCAAAUCUGCGCAU